AUUGAACGCUGGCGGAAUGCUUUACACAUGCAAGUCGAACGGCAGCGAAGGGUGCUUGCACCCUGUCGGCGAGUGGCGAACGGGUGAGUAAUAUAUCGGAACGUGCCCAGUCGUGGGGGAUAACGCAGCGAAAGCUGUGCUAAUACCGCAUACUAUCUACGGAUGAAAGCGGGGGAUCGCAAGACCUCGCGCGAUUGGAGCGGCCGAUAUAAGAUUAGCUAGUUGGUGGGGUAAAGGCCCACCAAGGCGACGAUCUGUAGCUGGUCUGAGAGGACGACCAGCCACACUGGAACUGAGACACGGUCCAGACUCCUACGGGAGGCAGCAGUGGGGAAUUUUGGACAAUGGGCGCAAGCCUGAUCCAGCAAUGCCGCGUGCAGGAUGAAGGCCUUCGGGUUGUAAACUGCUUUUGUACGGAACGAAACGGCCCUUUCUAAUACAGGGGGCUAAUGACGGUACCGUAAGAACAAGCACCGGCUAACUACGUGCCAGCAGCCGCCGUAA
rnacentral:rRNA from 1 species